rnacentral:rRNA from 1 species
UACGUAGGUGGCAAGCGUUGUCCGGAUUUACUGGGCGUAAAGAGCGCGCAGGCGGUCGGAUUAGUCGCGUGUGAAAGCCCCCGGCUCAACUGGGGAGGGUCACGCGAUACUGUUCGACUCGAAGGCAGGAGAGGGAAGUGGAAUUCCCGGUGUAGUGGUGAAAUGCGUAGAUAUCGGGAGGAACACCAGUGGCGAAGGCGACUUCCUGGCCUGUUCUUGACGCUGAGGCGCGAAAGCUAGGGUAGCAAACGGGG